UGCGUGAAACUGUUCAGGGGUAAACGGAGGAGUCACGAAAAUCCGAAAGAGGAGAUUCAUGUUUUAUCGUAAACUAGUUCAGACGGAUUUAAGACGAUUAGUUUUCUAAUUCAGAGUAAUCUGUUAUUUAGAGACUUUUCGCUUUUAUUCGAAUGUUUCUGGUACGAAGGACUGCACUUCUCCUUCUAGUAGGACGUUGCGACCCUUUUAAGUUUUAAGAUUUAGGGGCCGGCAGUGGAGCCUAUCCACUGGCAAGUUUUUAACUCACCUUUGGUAGACUUGUCGGUUUCCCGAUCUUAAUUGAAAGGUAUCAAUUGACAGUGUUGAACCGCUUAGUGCGUUCCUGUACGAUUGAAAGGCGUCGAGUCUCUAAUCAUGCCGAAACUAAAUAGUUUCGACUGGUUGUGCUCGUGCCUGUUAGCUGUCGUUACACUGGGACCGGUUUAAAACACUUGUCGGCGGCGAUUAAGUUUCGUGUACUUAUCCGACCCGUCUUGAAACACGGACCAAGGAGUCUAACAUGUGCGCAAGUCAUUGGGUUGUAAAACCUAAAGGCAAAAUGAAAGUGAAGGGCUUCGGCCUGAAGGGGGACCGGCAUUUUUUUAGUUCAUUUGAACUGUGCCUCGCACUCCCGGGGUGUCUAUAACUUUCUCUUCGGAGGGUUUUGACACACCUAGAGCGUACACGUUGGGACCCGAAAGAUGGUGAACUAUGCCUGGCCAGGACGAAG
rnacentral:rRNA from 1 species